rnacentral:rRNA from 1 species
UACGUAGGGUGCGAGCGUUGUCCGGAAUUACUGGGCGUAAAGAGCUCGUAGGUGGUUUGUCGCGUUGUCCGUGAAAACUCACAGCUUAACUGUGGGCGUGCGGGCGAUACGGGCAGACUUGAGUACUGCAGGGGAGACUGGAAUUCCUGGUGUAGCGGUGGAAUGCGCAGAUAUCAGGAGGAACACCGGUGGCGAAGGCGGGUCUCUGGGCAGUAACUGACGCUGAGGCGCGAAAGCGUGGGGAGCAAACAGG